AGCUCAAAAGGGGUGGUGGACUCCAUCUAAAGCUAAAUAUCGGGGAGAGACCGAUAGCGAACAAGUACCGUGAGGGAAAGAUGAAAAGCACUUUGGAAAGAGAGUUAAAAGUACGUGAAAUUGUCGAAAGGGAAGCACUUGAAGUCAGCCAUGCUGCUUGAGACUCAGCCUGGCCUUUGGGCUUGGUGUAUUUCUCGGUGGCAAGCCAGCAUUGGUUUGGGUCGUCGGAGAAGCGCAUAGGGAAUGUAGCGUUUCCGGACGUGUUAUAGCCUUAUUCUUGUUUUUACGACCUGGAUCAAGGAACGCAGUAAAACCUCUGGGCGGGUCUUCGGACA
rnacentral:rRNA from 1 species